rnacentral:rRNA from 1 species
CCUGGCUCAGUACGAACGCUGGCGGCAUGCCUAACACAUGCAAGUCGAACGGAGUUUAAUUGACAGAAGCCUUCGGGCAGAAGACGAUUAAACUUAGUGGCGGACGGGUGAGUAACGCGUGGAUAACCUGCCUUAUAGAGGGGGACAACAGUUGGAAACGACUGCUAAUACCGCAUAAGGUCUCGAGACCGCAUGAUCUUGAGAAGAAAGAUGGCCUCUGAAAAUGCUAUCGCUAUAAGAUGGAUCCGCGUCUGAUUAGCUAGUUGGUGAGGUAACGGCUCACCAAGGCAACGAUCAGUAGCCGGCCUGAGAGGGUGAACGGCCACAUUGGGACUGAGACACGGCCCAAACUCCUACGGGAGGCAGCAGUGGGGAAUCUUCCGCAAUGGGCGAAAGCCUGACGGAGCAAUGCCGCGUGAAUGAAGAAGGCCUUCGGGUCGUAAAAUUCUGUCCUUAUUGAAGAGAGGUUCAUGUGUAAACAAUGCAUGAAUAGGACGGUAGAUAAGGAGGAAGCCCCGGCUAACUACGUGCCAGCAGCCGCGGUAAUACGUAGGGGGCGAGCGUUGUCCGGAAUCACUGGGCGUAAAGGGCGCGUAGGCGGCCUAGUAAGUCAGAUGUGAAAAGUGAGGGCUCAACCCUUAGAGUGCAUCUGAUACUGCUAGGCUUGAGUACAGAAGAGGAAAGCGGAAUUCCUAGUGUAGCGGUGAAAUGCGUAGAUAUUAGGAGGAACACCAGUGGCGAAGGCGGCUUUCUGGGCUGAAACUGACGCUGAGGCGCGAAAGCGUGGGGAGCAAACAGGAUUAGAUACCCUGGUAGUCCACGCCGUAAACGAUGGGUACUAGGUGUCGGGGGUAUCGAUACCCUCGGUGCCGGAGUAAACACAAUAAGUACCCCGCCUGGGGAGUACGAUCGCAAGAUUGAAACUCAAAGGAAUUGACGGGGGCCCGCACAAGCGGUGGAGCAUGUGGUUUAAUUCGACGCAACGCGAAGAACCUUACCAAGACUUGACAUCCUGCUGACGGAUUGGGUAAUGCGAUGUUCUACUUCGGUAGACAGCAGAGACAGGUGGUGCAUGGUUGUCGUCAGCUCGUGUCGUGAGAUGUUGGGUUAAGUCCCGCAACGAGCGCAACCCUUGUCUUUAGUUGCCAGCAUUAAGUUGGGCACUCUAAAGAGACUGCCGGUGACAAACCGGAGGAAGGUGGGGAUGACGUCAAAUCAUCAUGCCCCUUAUGUCUUGGGCUACACACGUGCUACAAUGGUCGGUACAAAGGGCAGCGAGACCGCGAGGUGGAGCGAAUCCCAAAAAGCCGAUCCCAGUUCGGAUUGCAGGCUGCAACCCGCCUGCAUGAAGUCGGAAUCGCUAGUAAUCGCAGGUCAGCAUACUGCGGUGAAUACGUUCCCGGGCCUUGUACACACCGCCCG